ACAUUUUAGUNAAGCGANCNAGGGAACUUCGGUUCCUGAGUAGAGCGGCGGACGGGUGAGUAACACUUGGGUAAUCUGCCCUCGGGUGGGGAAUAACUCAGGGAAACCUGGGCUAAUUCCGCAUGAUAUUUCCGAUGUAUACGUAUUGGAAAUCAAAGCUGGGGACCCUUCGGGGCCUGGCGCCUGAGGAGGAGCCCGCGGCCAAUUAGCUUGUUGGUGGGGUAAUGGCCCACCAAGGCUCCGAUUGGUAGCCGGCCUGAGAGGGCGGACGGUCACACUGGGACUGAGACACGGCCCAGACUCCUACGGGAGGCAGCAGUGGGGAAUUUUUGUCAAUGGGGGAAACCCUGAACAAGCAACGCCGCGUGGAGGACGAAGACCCUCGGGUUGUAAACUCCUGUCGGAGGGGACGAANGUGUUGGUGGUUAAUACCCAUCGAUAUUGACGGUACCCUACGAGGAAGCCCCGGCUAACUCCGUGCCACAGCCCGCGGUAAUACGGGGGGGGCAAGCCGUUGUUCGGAAUUACUGGGCGUAAA
rnacentral:rRNA from 2 species